rnacentral:rRNA from 1 species
AUAGGCUUAACACAUGCAAGUCGAGGGGCAGCAUAUUUUAGCUUGCUAAGAUAGAUGGCGACCGGCGCACGGGUGCGUAACGCGUAUGCAACCUGCCUGUAAUUAGGGAAUAACCCGGUGAAAGUCGGACUAAUACCCUAUAUUCUUCUUUCUCCGCAUGGAGGAGGACGGAAAGAUUUAUUGAUUACAGAUGGGCAUGCGUCCCAUUAGCUAGUUGGUAAGGUAACGGCUUACCAAGGCAACGAUGGGUAGGGGGACUGAGAGGUUGACCCCCCACACUGGUACUGAGACACGGACCAGACUCCUACGGGAGGCAGCAGUGAGGAAUAUUGGUCAAUGGGCGAGAGCCUGAACCAGCCAAGUCGCGUGAAGGACGAUGGUUCUAUGGAUUGUAAACUCCUUUUGUAGAGGAAUAAUGGCAGCUACGCGUAGCUGAGAUGCAUGUACUCUACGAAUAAGUAUCGGCUAACUCCGUGCCAGCAGCCGCGGUAAUACGGAGGAUACGAGCGUUAUCCGGAAUUAUUGGGUUUAAAGGGUGCGUAGGUGGCGUAUUAAGUCAGUGGUGAAAAGCUGCAGCUCAACUGUAGUCUUGCCGUUGAAACUGAUAUGCUAGAGAGGAGACGAGGUAUGCGGAAUGUGUGGUGUAGCGGUGAAAUGCAUAGAUAUCACACAGAACGCCGAUUGCGAAGGCAGCGUACCAGGCUCCGUCUGACACUGAAGCACGAAAGCGUGGGGAUCAAACAGGAUUAGAUANCCUGGUAGUCCACGCAGUAAACGAUGAAUACUAGAUUUUUGCGAUAUAGUGUAAGAGUCUAAGCGAAAGCGAUAAGUAUUCCA